UACGAAGGUGGCAAGCGUUGUUCGGAAUUACUGGGCGUAAAGGGCUCGUAGGCGGCCAACUAAGUCAUACGUGAAAUCCCUCGGCUUAACCGGGGAACUGCGUCUGAUACUGGAUGGCUUGAGUUCGGGAGAGGGAUGCGGAAUUCCAGGUGUAGCGGUGAAAUGCGUAGAUAUCUGGAGGAACACCGGGUGGCGAAGGCGGCAUCCUGGACCGAUACUGACGCUGAGGAGCGAAAGCCAGGGGAGCAAAGCGGG
rnacentral:rRNA from 1 species